rnacentral:lncRNA from 1 species
CCAUAGCAGUUAAGCCAAGCACAAGAUCAAUAUAACAUCAAAACGAGAAGAAACCUACUUUUAAAAUUUUCGUAACAUACUCAUUUAUAACAUUUUUGUUGGUAGCAUUUGUCCAAAACCUUCCCAAUCAUGGCACCCAAACAUAAUUUCUCCUCCUUAAUCUUACAACCAUCCAGGCAAAUGACAAAUAAAUACGUAGUAAGUUCCUCUGUUUGCUUUGCGAAAAGAAUGUUAUCUCACAUGAGAAGUGACUCAGUCUUCCUAAUUCAUACAUAAGAACGAUUCUAGUUGCUUUUGAGAUGAACGUAAAUCCCCAUCAUCUGAUAUCCUUACGCUCUAUACCAAUUUGCUAGGGUCCUAGGUCAAGAAUAAGGUUACUGGUCUAGUACAAGAUGGUCUAAGAGAGAGACAAUGGAGUUUACAAGCUUUUUAUAAAAAAACUAUGGUGUAAAAUUGUAUUAAUAUAGGCACCAAGGGGUGCCGUCCAUUUAC